rnacentral:lncRNA from 1 species
CAUAAAUCUGAGAGACGUGAGUUUGUCAUCAUUUUUUAUCUAGACAUAGGAUAGGUUGUGUGAAAAUAUUACUGAUGUUUAACGUUAAAAAUGGACCAAAAGAUUAAUGCUAAACAACAUUUGACAUGUUUGAACGAACAUAAAUAGAUUAUUUACUAGGUUUUUUUAGCUUUUCGGCGUGAUUUUACCAGCCCCACACCACGUUUUGUGGGAGCAUAAUGAACGCUAAGUACUUGGUGUUAUUUGGACAUAAAUUAUGAACUUUGUCAAAAGAAACCACAUUUGUUCCGGACCUGGAAUGCCUUCCGGACCUGGGAUCCUGCCUUCUGAUGGAGAUAAUCAAAGGCGGCGAAUCGCAUCUCUGCAUGUCUGUCAGACAUAUCAGUGUGGAUGACGGAUCACCAGCUCAAGCUGAACCUCGGCAAGACGGAGCUGCUCUUCCUCCCGGGGAAGGACUGCCCGUUCCAUGAUCUCGCCAUCACGGUUGACAACUCCCUUGUGUCCUCCUCCCAGAGUGCUAAGAACCUUGGCGUGAUCCUGGACAACACCCUGUCGUUCUCCACUAACAUCAAGGCGGUGACCCGAUCCUGUAGGUUCAUGCUCUACAACAUUCGCAGAGUACGACCCUGCCUCACAC